rnacentral:lncRNA from 1 species
CCUGAGAUGGGGCUGAGGCGGGGCACAGGUGGGCUGGGUGGGGCUUAGAAGAGAUCCGCGCAGGGGGCGGGGCGGGACUGGGGCGGAGCUCAGGUGGGCCGGGUGGACCUGGAAGGGGUUGGGGCGGGGCUGGGGCGAUCCCGUCUGAGGCGCCCGGACUGUUAACCCAGCCGAGUAAUGGUGGCCGCUGGAGCGCCGGCGGUGGUGGAUCAGGAGCCACCGCGGGGAGGAUCGGCAGUACCGGACAUCGGAGCCGCAGCCGGGGUGGCCCCGGGGCUUGGGGCAGCCCGCGGGGUGCCGGGGGGGACGCAGGAUGCGCUCCGAGGACGCGGUCGGGGGCUGUACCCGGCGCCUCCGGGCAGAGGCUCCAACUCAGCAUUUGCCCCAAGAUUCUGCCUUUCUUGAUACAUCCUCACUUGGUGACUGAAAACGGUGGUUCAACUGAGGUCACACACUUCUUGAGGCAGCUUCUAGCCAACAGGAAAAAAACCUGGAAUCUUCGUAUUGUUUUAGUAGAUCUGAGUCUCAAAGGAGAUACAGGAGGAAAUAAGUGGACAGUAAGGGAUUGGCUCAUUCUAGCUCCUAAUUUUGAUGGAACACCCAAAGGUGUAGGAUUAACCGAAAAGUCCUGCGGGAUCAGCUGUCUUCCAUACUCUGUAGUGACGUCGGUGUUAAAGUGUAGCAUCCGCUUACCUGGGAUUGGAGCUGAGAUGCACAAACAGCUGCAGAGAGGCAAAGGGAGCAUCAGAGAGGGCCGCUUCUAUUUCUGCUUUCUGGCUGAUGCUCUUGUCCCUGCGCUAUCCCAUCCUCGAGCGAUCAUUUUCUUCUAUAUCUUUCCUUAGAAUUCAUAUGCAAUAAACAUGAGUUAAGUGCCUUCCA